rnacentral:rRNA from 1 species
AGCGAACGCUGGCGGCAGGCCUAACACAUGCAAGUCGAACGAACCUUUCGGGGUUAGUGGCGGACGGGUGAGUAACACGUGGGAACGUGCCUUUAGGUUCGGAAUAACUCAGGGAAACAUGUGCUAAUACCGAAUGUGCCCUUCGGGGGAAAGAUUAAUCGCCUUUAGAGCGGCCCGCGUCUGAUUAGCUAGUUGGUUGAGGUAAUGGCUCACCAAGGCGACGAUCAGUAGCUGGUCUGAGAGGAUGAUCAGCCACAUUGGGACUGAGACACGGCCCAAACUCCUACGGGAGGCAGCAGUGGGGAAUCUUGCGCAAUGGGCGAAAGCCUGACGCAGCCAUGCCGCGUGAAUGAUGAAGGUCUUAGGAUUGUAAAAUUCUUUCACCGGGGACGAUAAUGACGGUACCCGGAGAAGAAGCCCCGGCUAACUUCGUG